rnacentral:rRNA from 1 species
AUGGUUAAGUUAGAAAGGGCGCACGGUGAAUGCCUUGGCACUAGGAGCCGAUGAAGGACGGGACUAACACCGAUAUGCUUCGGGGAGCUGUAAGUGAGCUUUGAUCCGGAGAUUUCCGAAUGGGGAAACCCACUGUUCGUAAUGGAACAGUAUCUUUAUCUGAAUACAUAGGAUAUUGAAGGCAGACCCGGGGAACUGAAACAUCUAAGUACCCGGAGGAAGAGAAAGCAAAUGCGAUUUCCUGAGUAGCGGCGAGCGAAACGGAAUUAGCCCAAACCAAGAGGCUUGCCUCUUGGGGUUGUAGGACACUCUAUACGGAGUUACAAAGGAACGAAGUAAAUGAAGCGACCUGGAAAGGUCCGUCAAAGAAGGUAACAACCCUGUAGUUGAAACUUCGUUCCCUCUUGAGUG